GGUCUCACUCUGUUGCCCAGGCUGAAGUGCAGUGGUGAAAUCUCGGUUCACUGCAACCUCUGCCUCCCAGGCUCAAAUGAUUCUCCUGCCUCAGCCUCCUGAGUACCUGGGAUUACAGGUGUGUGCCACCAUGCCCAGCUAAUUUUUGUAUUUUUAGAUGAGAUGGGGUUUCACCUUGUUGGCCAGGCUGGUCGCAAACUUCUGACCUCAGGUGAUCCACCCACCUCGGCCUCCCAAAGUGCUGGGAUUACAGGUGUGAGUCACCUCACUUUCUAAUGCAUUCUUUAGUAUGUCAAUUGCAUUUUCCAACUCUAGAAUUUCUGCUUAUUUUUAGUUAUUUCAAUCUCUGUUAAAUUUAUCUGAUAGAAUUCUGAAUUCCUUCUCUGUGUUACUGUGAAUUUCUUUGAGUUUCCUCAAAAUGUCUUUUUUGAAUUCUCUGUCUGAAAGGUCCCAUCUGUGUUUCUCCAGGAUUAGUCCCUGGUGGCUUAUUUGGUUCAUUUGGUGAGGUCAUGUUUUCCUGGAUAGUCUUGAUGCUUGUGGAUGUUCAUCGGUAUCUGCACAUUGAAGAGUUAGGUAUUUAUUGUAGUCUUUGCAGUCUGGGCUUGUUUGUGCCCAUCUUUUUUGGGAAGACUUUCCAUGUAUUCAAAGAGACUUGAGCUCCAAGCCCAAUAACACUGUGGUUCUUGUGGACCCAUGUAAGUACCACGUUGGUAGUCCUAGAUAAGAUCCAGAAGAAUUCUCUGAUUACUAGGCAGAGACUCUUGUUCUCUUUCCUUACCAUCUCCCAAAUAAAUGGAGUCUCUGUCUCUUUGCUGAGCUUCCUGGAGCUAGGAAUGGGGUGAUGCAAGCCUUCUUAUGACCACCACCACUGGGACUGUGCUGGGUCAUACCUGAAGCCAGCACAGCAGUGGGUCUCACCUAAGGCCCACUGUAACCACUACCCGGAUACCACCUGUGUUCACUCAAGGCCCUAGGGCUCUACAAUCAGCAGCUGGGGCCACCAGUCAGCUUUUUAUCUUUCCCUUCAGGGCAGUGAGUUUCCCCAGGCCCUGGGAGGGUCCAGAGAUGCUGUCUGGGAACCAGAGAUUAGAGUCAAAAACCUUAGAAAUCUACGUGGUGGUCUAUUCUACUGCAGCUAAGCUGGGACUCAAACCACAAGACAAAGUGCCUCCCACUCUACCUUCCCCUUUCCAUGGACAGAGGAGCCUCUCCCAGUGGCCACCACCACCACUGGCCCACAGAGAGUUCUGAACACUCACUUAAAGCCCAAGGGCUCUUCAAGUCAACUUGUGGUGAAUGCUCUCAGGCCUGGGACUCACCCUUUAGGGCAGUGGGUUCCCCUCUGGCCCACGGCAGGUCCAAAAAUGUUGUCCAAGAGCUUAGGUCUGGACUUGGGG
rnacentral:lncRNA from 1 species